rnacentral:lncRNA from 1 species
UGUUUAUUGCAAGCAAAUAUGAAGAAAUGUACCCUCCAGAAAUUGGUGACUUUGCUUUUGUGACUGACAACACUUAUACUAAGCACCAAAUCAGACAGAUGGAAAUGAAGAUUCUAAGAGCUUUAAACUUUGGUCUGGGUCGGCCUCUACCUUUGCACUUCCUUCGGAGAGCAUCUAAGAUUGGAGAGUUGAUGUCGAGCAACAUACUUUGGCCAAAUACCUGAUGGAACUAACUAUGUUGGACUAUGACAUGGUGCACUUUCCUCCUUCUCAAAUUGCAGCAGGAGCUUUUUGCUUAGCACUGAAAAUUCUGGAUAAUGGUGAAUGGGUAAGCUGU